rnacentral:rRNA from 1 species
CCUACGGGGCGCAGCAGUGGGGAAUAUUGGACAAUGGGCGAAAGCCUGAUCCAGCCAUGCCGCGUGUGUGAAGAAGGCCUUCGGGUUGUAAAGCACUUUCAGUGGGGAAGAAAGCCUUGGGGCUAAUACCCUCGAGGAAGGACAUCACCCACAGAAGAAGCACCGGCUAACUCCGUGCCAGCAGCCGCGGUAAUACGGAGGGUGCGAGCGUUAAUCGGAAUUACUGGGCGUAAAGCGCGCGUAGGCGGUCUGAUAAGCCGGUUGUGAAAGCCCCGGGCUCAACCUGGGAACGGCAUCCGGAACUGUCAGGCUAGAGGGCAGGAGAGGAAGGUAGAAUUCCCGGUGUAGCGGUGAAAUGCGUAGAGAUCGGGAGGAAUACCAGUGGCGAAGGCGGCCUUCUGGACUGACACUGACGCUGAGGUGCGAAAGCGUGGGUAGCAAACAGGAUUAGAUACCCCUGUAGUC